GACGAACGCUGGCGGCGUGCUUAACACAUGCAAGUCGAACGGAAAGGCCCUGCUUUUGUGGGGUGCUCGAGUGGCGAACGGGUGAGUAACAAGUGAGUAACCUGCCCUUGACUUUGGGAUAACUUCAGGAAACUGGGGCUAAUACCGGAUAGGAGCUCCUGCUGCAUGGUGGGGGUUGGAAAGUUUCGGCGGUUGGGGAUGGACUCGCGGCUUAUCAGCUUGUUGGUGGGGUAGUGGCUUACCAAGGCUUUGACGGGUAGCCGGCCUGAGAGGGUGACCGGCCACAUUGGGACUGAGAUACGGCCCAGACACCUACGGGAGGCAGCAGUGGGGAAUAUUGCACAAUGGGCGGAAGCCUGAGGCAGCAACGCCGCGUGCGGGAUGACGGCCUUCGGGUUGUAAACCGCUUUCGCCUGUGACGAAGCGUGAGUGACGGUAAUGGGUAAAGAAGCACCGGCUAACUACGUG
rnacentral:rRNA from 1 species